CAGCUUUCUGCCAGCCCAUGUUGACUGUUUCAGCUGCUGUGUGAGUUUGUGUGUGGUCGUGGAUACUGAAAUUGGAGUCUCCACCUUCCGAUGCCACCAAGACAGCCAAGGCCCGAAAGGUUAAGGUAACAGGGAGAGGAGGUAAAUGAAGCUUUUAAGCAGGGUGGAGGGAAGGGGGACCACUGCAAAGAUUAAUUGACUUUCCGCAGAGCUUCACUUAUCCUCCACUGGCACCUUUGACUUGUUUUAUUUUACAAAUUCUGCCUGACGAAUGCAUUGCCUGGAAAGGUGCUACGAGACAGCACUUCCAGAGUGGGGGGGCUUGUCAUCUGUAUCUACUCAUAUCCUACAAUCCGUUUUGCUCUGAGCACUACUGCACUUAAAUGUCAGGGCUGAUGAGCCUGCCACACCCACCUGACACAUCAGCUCAGCGCCUGCUAAAAGCUUUUAUGGAACAGAGUGUGAGCCUGGUGGUUGAUAUAAAUUAAAGUGUUCUUUGCUUCUUUUUUGGGAGGAUUAUGGCUCUAAAGGGACAACUUCUGCUAAGAAAUAGAGAAGAGAGGGAGUGAGAGCGUAGGCUAUGAUUGGUUGCCAUCUAGUGGCUCGCUGCCACAUUAUCAUGGAGAGGUAACUGAGCACUCACCACCAAAACUACAUUACAGUUCGCACUAAUCAGAGACAAAGCUGAGAA